CAGUAGCCGCGGUAAUACGUAGGGGGCAAGCGUUAUCCGGGAUUACUGGGUGUAAAGGGAGCGUAGACGGUUAAACAAGUCUGAAGUGAAAUGCCGGGGCUCAACCCCGGAGCUGCUUUGGGAACUGUAGAACUGGAGUGUCGGAGGGGUAAGCGGAAUUCCCAGUGUAGCAGUGAAAUGCGUAGAUAUUGGGAGGAACACCGGCGGCGAAGGCGGCUUACUGGACGACAACUGACGUUGAGGCUCGAAGGCGUGGGUAGCAGACAGGAUUAGAUACCCGGGUAGUCCCUGUCUCUUAUAA
rnacentral:rRNA from 1 species